ensembl:snRNA U6 U6 spliceosomal RNA
UUGCUUCAACAGCAGAUAUACUAAAAUUGGAAAGACAUGGAGAAAAAUUAGCAUGGCCCUUGCACAAGGAUAACACCCAUAUCCAAGAAGCAUUCCAUGUUUUU